rnacentral:rRNA from 1 species
UCGGGAUACUGGGCGUAAGCGCGCGUAGGCGGCUUGAUAAGCCGGUUGUGAAAGCCCCGGGCUCAACCUGGGAACGGCAUCCGGAACUGUCAGGCUAGAGUGCAGGAGAGGAAGGUAGAAUUCCCGGUGUAGCGGUGAAAUGCGUAGAGAUCGGGAGGAAUACCAGUGGCGAAGGCGGCCUUCUGGACUGACACUGACGCUGAGGUGCGAAAGCGUGGGGUAGCAAACAGGAUUAGAUACCCUGGGUAGUCCCCGCCGUAAACGAUGUCGACUAGGCGUUUGGGUCCUUUCCGGGAUUUUGUGGGGGCGUUAACCGGAAAAAUCCACCGCCGGGGGAAUAGGGCCCCAAGGUAAAACUCAAAUGAAUGGCGGGGGCCCCCCAAACGGGGGGACAGGGGGUUUAUUUCAUCCCCCCCAAAAACCUUUCUACCCUU